AUAUCAUACCUAUUGUUAUCGCACGAAUAGGCGGAGCUAUCUUAAUAUAGCUCCCUAGUUAAAAGGGACUCGAUAGCAUAUUGAACAGUCCGACAGUAAUUGUUACCGAAGUGAGGUGUCGGAAAGCAAAUCGUUCCACAAUGUAUCGAAAAUCAGAUCUCUUCACCAUUUUCGUACUAGUACUUGUGUUUGAACAGACUUGCGGACUGGCAUUGGACGCUGAUUGCACCUCGGAUGCGAAUGCUUGCACUACGCCAAACGCAGUUUGCACAACUGACACAAAGAUAUGUACAUGCGCUACUGGCUAUACGAAAGUAGGGACAGACUGC